AUUGAACGCUGGCGGCAGGCCUAACACAUGCAAGUCGAGCGGAUGAGGAGAGCUCGCUCUCUGAUUCAGCGGCGGACGGGUGAGUAAUGCCUAGGAAUCUGCCUGGUAGUGGGGGACAACGUUUCGAAAGGAACGCUAAUACCGCAUACGUCCUACGGGAGAAAGUGGGGGAUCUUCGGACCUCACGCUAUCAGAUGAGCCUAGGUACGACUAGCUAGUUGGCGGGGUAACGGCCCACCAAGGCGACGAUCCGUAGCUGGUCUGAGAGGACGAUCAGCCACACUGGAACUGAGACACGGUCCAGACUCCUACGGGAGGCAGCAGUGGGGAAUAUUGGACAAUGGGGGAAACCCUGAUCCAGCGACGCCGCGUGGGUGAUGAAGGCCUGCGGGUUGUAAAGCCCUUUCGGUAGGGACGAAAGCUCUCGACCUAACACGUCGGGAGGUUGACUUAACCUACAGAAGAAGCACCGGCUAACUCUGUGCCAGCCGCCGCGGUAA
rnacentral:rRNA from 1 species